rnacentral:rRNA from 1 species
GAUGAAUGCUGGCGGCGUGCCUAACACAUGCAAGUCGAGCGGCAGCGAGGGGUGCUUGCACCCUGUCGGCGAGCGGCGAACGGCUGAGUAACGCGUAGGAAUUUGCCCCAAAGUGAGGAAUAACUGCCCGAAAGGGUAGCUAAUGCCGCAUAUGGUCUUCGGAUUAAAGGAUUUAUCCGCUUUGGGAGAAGCCUGCGUUGGAUUAGGUUGUUGGUAGGGUAAUGGCCUACCAAGCCGACGAUCCAUAGCUGGUCUGAGAGGAUGAUCAGCCAGACUGGAACUGAGACACGGUCCAGACUCCUACGGGGGGCAGCAGUGAGGAAUCUUCCACAAUGGGCGAAAGCCUGAUGGAGCAACGCCGCGUGAAGGAUGAAGGCCUUCGGGUUGUAAACUUCUUUUAUGAGUGAAGAAUAUGACGGUAACUCAUGAAUAAGCACCGGCUAACUACGUG